GUGUUCGGGUUGUCAUGGUGUUCGGGUUGUCAUGCCAAUGGCACUGCCCGGUAGCUAAAUGCGGAAGAGAUAAGUGCUGAAAGCAUCUAAGCACGAAACUUGCCCCGAGAUGAGUUCUCCCUGAGACUUAGAGUCUCCUGAAGGAACGUUGAAGACGACGACGUUGAUAGGCCGGGUGUGUAAGCGCAGCGAUGCGUUGAGCUAACCGGUACUAAUGAACCGUGAGGCUUAACCUU
rnacentral:rRNA from 1 species